UUGGGUUGUAUCUUGGAAUGAUUGUAUUUUAUUUGUGUGUUUGUUAUUGUAGUUAAUGUUGAGCAUGUUUAAACAUUGUAUUAAUUGAAGGGAUAGUACUCCAAUCAAAAAAGAGGGAGAGAAGAAGAAGAGGAAGAGGGACGAAAAAGAGGGAGAGAAGAAGAAGAAGGAAAAACACGAGAAAAGAGGAGAGAAGAAGAAGGGGAUACGAAGAAGGAUGACGGACAACAACAAGACAGCGUAAAGUGAGAUAGUAGAGGGAUUGACGAGCGGAACGGCGAGUGACUCUCCACUAGAAAAGACAGCAAUAUCUGCACGAUUUGCGCUACGUUGGUUUUGUUUUGUGUAACGGAUCUCGGAUAGAGAUCCGCGCCGUUUAUAGGACCGCGGCGGCAAUAGCGGAGUGAGCCAGGCUUUAGCUUGGGAGAUCCGGACCUGCACGAGAGGGAGAGAGAGUAUCCAACCCGGCCACUCUUUUAACCAUCGGUUCGCGGAUCCGGAGGAACCAACACCGCUACGGACGUCUGCGACGACAGCCCCGAUUCCGACUCGCCAACACCGUGAGGAGGACGAAAACACCUUCAGGUUAUCCAGGAUGGCUGGACCUGCUGCAACUACGUAUCGAGGGAAACCAGUCCCACUGAGCACUGGGGGAAACCAAUCCACCCCACAACUGUGGAGUCUCCAUGAACACGAGGCACAGCAGGACCCAGUAGAGGUCCACAUGGAGGUUCGAGUUAACUGGACUGGACCGUGAUGUCAUCGUCAGCCUGGUGUUCUGGUCCCUGAAGUUCAGCUGCAACGCUGAAGGCCCCCUUCCAAUGUGUUGGAUGUCUUUGUACAAACUCCAGUAAAUGCCUGUGUAACCAGCUGCAUGAUGCAGGGGGAAGUUAAAUAAAUGCUGAUUAAGCAUAGAUUUGAAAUCUGUGUUGAAUUGCAUUCUCAUUUCCCAAACUGUUUCGCAUGAAUAAAAAGAUCAACACAAAAGUAAAAAUAAUGAUAAUGACAGCGCAAAAAACUCCCGGUUGUUGUGAAUUUGUGACGUUAAAAUGAGCAGUGAGGCUGGCGCUGCAAAGAAAAAAAAGAUUGUGCUAGCACCCCCCCUCCCGCGUCGACCGCUAGCACCCCCCACACUGUCAGCGAAAGUGUCCCUGAUUUGGGGUUGCGAAAGUUGGCAACCCUAUGUGUGCCCCGUCUUUGACGCGCUGCGCCGACCGUCCUCUGCUGCCUCUUCCUCUGGCUCCAAGGGUUAGCCCAUCAGUGGGAGCGAGGUAACGUUUAAGUACCUUCAGUUUAAUACACUCAUGUGUAAAUGUUUUUGUGAGGUUUCAAAAAUAAAGCUCUCUUGAGGAAAGUGUACCCCUGUUAAAAUAUACUCAUAAUUUAUAAUGUUUAUUCAAUAUUCAGCAGUGCUGUGAUCGAUUGCUUAUGUCUCGCUCCUCCACUUGACCAAUCCUGCUCAAGAAUGAGGUUCGGACCGCCUGAGCUCAUUUACAUACAGACACAGAAAUACAGGCAUAAGUAAAUGAACAAAUAGAGAAAUGUAGAAAUCAAUUCAUUUAAUUAUGUUCUGUUUAAUGUAUUAAUAUAAGUUUACACCUAAUGUAUUUAUUAUUUUAUAUAAGCAUUUAUUUAUACGUGUAUUUACGCAUUUAUUCAUUUAUUUAUUUAUACUUAAGUCAUUUUUUGUCCUCCAUAUGCCUCUGCCUGCACGCACCAGCCCUGACAAUUAAUGCGCUAAGAGGACACAUAUUAGAAUCUCAGGCCUUUCAAAUAGAAACGGCUCAAUCCAAAAUUGUGUUUUCAAAAUUCACAAUGAGUCAGGAAAUUUGUACUUGUACUGAAAGUGAAGGGUUUUGAACAGACAUUGAAAACUCAACCAAACCAUUUCAUUUUGUUUGUCAUUGUUGAACCAUCCAAGACAUCGCCACAGAACAUGUAUUUAAUCUUUAUGUAUGGUCUUGGAAAAAUAGAUAAGACAGAAAAUCAGAUAGUGUAUUAGUCUGUGGACAUUGUUGAGCCACAUGUUGCAUUUACACCCUGCUAAAAACUGUUUGUGGCGUUCCUGUGCUAGACGUAGAUGAAGCCUUGGCACAGAGCGGCUCACAAUGCGUAAUUACUGCCACAGUCACUCAUACACAUUAAAACUCAUCAAACUGAUCUUACUGCUGUGAUGGAAAACUACUCAGAUCCUGUGCAGCAUGGAAUCACAGUUCCAAUUUGGGUUGACUCUUUUUUAUUUUAACAACAAGAGUGUGUUUGGUUGGGCGCAGAGCAGACACACCAGCUGCUCUUCUGUUUUGUUUUCUGACAGAGUAGUUACUCAGAAAGGGUGUUUAUCGUUGUGUUUAAAUACCUUGUUGCCACAGUACCAACAUUUGUCGCCGAAUCACUGAGGAGAUUAAAAAUUACGAAUCACUGAGGAGAUUAAAAAGAGAUUACAAUUUACAAAAAUCUAACUUGUUUUGAAACUGUCUUAUCUUAAUAUUAAAUAGAAAAUAGGGAGCUUCUACACAGUUAUUCUGUGAUUUUGUGAAAGAGACAAAAAAAGAUGAUAUAUUAAUAAAUGAUAUGUGAUUACAAAGUCUUCAGAGUCUUUGGAGUUAAUACUCUACAGGGAGAUAAACACACUAGACUAGACUACUGCUACACUGUAAUACACAAUGCAUACCUCUCCGUCCCCCCUUGCAGCCUUGGGACUCUUGAUCACUUCA